rnacentral:rRNA from 1 species
AGCGAACGCUGGCGGCAGGCUUAACACAUGCAAGUCGAGCGGGCCCUUCGGGGUCAGCUGCAGACGGGUGAGUAACACGUGGGAACGUACCCUUUGGUUCGGAAUAACGCUGGGAAACUAGCGCUAAUACCGGAUACGCCCUUUUGGGGAAAGGCUUGCUGCCGAAGGAUCGGCCCGCGUCUGAUUAGCUAGUUGGUGGGGUAAUGGCCUACCAAGGCGACGAUCAGUAGCUGGUCUGAGAGGAUGAUCAGACACACUGGGACUGAGACACGGCCCAGACUCCUACGGGAGGCAGCAGUGGGGAAUAUUGGACAAUGGGCGCAAGCCUGAUCCAGCCAUGCCGCGUGAGUGAUGAAGGCCUUAGGGUUGUAAAGCUCUUUUGUCCGGGACGAUAAUGACGGUACCGGAAGAAUAAGCCCCGGCUAACUUCGUG